rnacentral:tRNA from 1 species
CCGGGAUAGCUCAGUUGGUAG